rnacentral:rRNA from 1 species
UUGACCUCGGAUCAGGUAGGGAUACCCGCUGAACUUAAGCAUAUCAAUAAGCGGAGGAAAAGAAACCAACCGGGAUUGCCUCAGUAACGGCGAGUGAAGCGGCAAGAGCUCAAAUUUGAAAGCUGGCUCCUUCGGAGUCCGCAUUGUAAUUUGCAGAGGAUGCUUUGGGUGCGGCCCCCGUCUAAGUGCCCUGGAACGGGCCGUCAGAGAGGGUGAGAAUCCCGUCUUGGGCGGGGUGUCCGUGCCCGUGUAAAGCUCCUUCGACGAGUCGAGUUGUUUGGGAAUGCAGCUCUAAAUGGGUGGUAAAUUUCAUCUAAAGCUAAAUACUGGCCGGAGACCGAUAGCGCACAAGUAGAGUGAUCGAAAGAUGAAAAGCACUUUGAAAAGAGAGUUAAACAGCACGUGAAAUUGUUGAAAGGGAAGCGCUUGCGACCAGACUCGCCCGCGGGGUUCAGCCGGCAUUCGUGCCGGUGUACUUCCCCGUGGGCGGGCCAGCGUCGGUUUGGGCGGCCGGUCAAAGGCCCCUGGAAUGUAGUGCCCUCCGGGGCACCUUAUAGCCAGGGGUGCAAUGCGGCCAGCC